GGCACAGAGGGCAGCAUCCAUCUGAUUUCAGCAAUUCACACAUUGUUGGGGAAGGAGCCGAAAAUGACUCUUUCUACAUGGAUUUGUAGCUUUUGUUUUGCCCAGCUGCUCAGUCCAACGUGCUUUAGCUGAUGGCAAAGCUUGCAGUGAGCAGAUGCAGCUCUGUUGGCCCCGCGGUGGCAGCUCCCACCGGACGGCAGCAAGUUAUCUCUAUUUUUGUAGGAACUAUUCUCAGUUAAGGAAUAAAUCCCGGCUAAAUUUAAACUUCCUGUUAAGGCUGCUAAAUGUCUUCUUUUUUUUUUUUUCAAGAAAAAAAGUAAAAUGAAGCCACUAAAUGGCUUAUGUAGAAGUACAUACUAAUAAACAUUUAGUCUAAGAGACACAUGCAGGAGUGCACAGGUGGGAACUUGAACUACAGCAGAUAUUUUUCAGAGGUGUGGGCUACCUGUACUUCAUGGGGAAUUUUUAUUGCAUGCAGAGAAGGAUUGCAUGGGAAGUUUUAGCCCCAAACAGGGCUUAAAAAUAGUCAUUUCUAUAGAAAGUCUGUCCAGUUUUAGGUUGCUGCUUCAUAAAUCUUAAUGGUCCAGGGGAAAAAAAGCGUUUUCCAGCUGGAUUUGUCCAGGAAGACAAGUUUUGGUGCCCAGUCAUGGCACACAGAGAUGGAGCCCAGCACCUCUGUUCUCCCCAAGGCUCCCUUCAUGCAGUGCCCCAGCAAAAAUGGGCUGCUCCACACCAGCCUCAAAGCUGAGGUUUAUUUUGGACUGCCAAGGUGUGAAGGUCUGGUGGGAUAAAGGGGAUUGCUGUGGCCAAAUCCAUGCCCGCUGGUGAGUCCCUUCAUCCCCUGCCUGCAAUGCCCUUAUUUCUUGAUGCCCAUUAAAGUUGUGCUAUUUAUUUAUUCACACUCAUGGGGCUGUCAUUUACUCAUUAACACCCCAUGUGAGGCUUUGCUGGACGGCUCAGGGUGUGAGCACAACGCCCAGCAUGCGGUGAGGAUCUGGGUUUGCAGUCACCUGUGCUGCAAGGAGCAAGGGCUGAUGAAAGAGUUAAAUGUGGAAACGAGAGUCAGAAAUACAGCAGUAACUGGACAAAAUUCUUUGGAGACAAAUUGUUCUAAACGAGCUCAGCCUGCGAUGCUGUUAUCUGCUCUGCAAGAAAGGUCAGAGCAGGAAUCUCUCUUUUUUUUUCCCCCCUCUCCUUAUUCUUUUAGUAAGCUCAACAGAAGUGCACAAAGCCCAUUGUGAGUUUCCUCAGAACUUCGUGUCCUUGAACCACGAGCUCGUAGGUACAAUUUAACUGCCACAUCACUUGUCUUGGCCCUGAUUAGACCCAGAUGAACACUUUCAAUAUUAAUACGUGGAUGAUUUAAUAAAGCUGCACGAGCAGUAAAAGUAACAAUACGCUUCCAUAAAGGGGUUCCAGAUGUUGCCAAGGCAAAUGCUAAACAUCAAAAUAUAAACUUCAAAAAAAAAAAAAAGAAAGAAAAAAGAGCUGGAUAAGCAAAACUUGGAACAAACUAUAAACUAAUUAAAUGUGGGUUGAGUUUUCCAAAAAUAAAUUGAAGCCAUAAGGAUGUGAUGUGAGCCAAUAAAUAGUACAGUUAGUCAAAGUUAUUGUGGAACAACAGUUGGAAAGAUGGUUUGAAGUCACCGAUGAGGUGGGCUUGCAGUGAGUUUGGCUUCUUAUCAAUAGGAAGGCUUGUUCUGCUGUGCACGAGAACGGCAUCAAAUCUUCUGCUAUCUAUAACCAGGACCCUGGAGAGGCUACGGGGGGAAGACAAGACCAUCUUCAAGCAGGCAAGGGAAGGGAAAAACUACACCAAAAGUGCCCGCGAGAGCAGCAGUGCUAAUACCACCAUCCAAGCAUCUUGGGACGUCUUUCCUCCUGCCUGCUGCUGCCCACAGGGCAUCCCCACUCUCCUGCAGGGCCCGUUGAAGCACGGCCACCGGGGUGCGAGCGGUAUCGGCGAGGAGCAAACCUGGGUGCGAGGAGGUGAAAGCACGGUGCAUUCGUUACGGGGAAGGAGACAGCGCUUCGCAGCCGAAGCGAUGGCAUGCACAGGCAAUUUGCUUCACUGCAGAGUAGAAUGAGUGGUUUUCAUUCUCAAAUUUUAUCUGCUGGGGUGUUUUGUGACAACCCAACGGCAGAUGGGUGUAAGCAAAGGCACUCAGUGCGAGAUGCUGAGGCACACACUGUCCAUCUUCCUCCCGAGGUGGAAGGGAUCAAGGCUUCUGCCAGGCAGGACCUGCUCAGGUCUCCUCCUUACGCACAUUACGCUCCAUCUUUUGCUAGUAAAUUGCCCUUAAAUUGCACUUAAUAUUCAAGGACGAAGAACAACUGAUCAUUUUGGGGUCAUAAGCACUUCGCAGCGAGGUUUGCCUCCUCCUUUCUGUGUGUCUGCGUGCAUCGGGGCGCAGCUGGUGCUCGGCCAGCAGUUGCACAAGGCUUCCUUGCCGCUCCAGGAGCUCUCUGCAUCGUCUUUCCCCAGCAGGUCAGCCCUGAGCCCAAGACUUUGUGCUGGGGGGAGACAAAUCCCACUCUAACCAGUGGGAUUUGGGAGCUCUGGCAUCUCAGCUGGCACCGCAGCUGCAGGGCUGGGCACAGAGGGUGCACCUGGUGGGAAUGCCCACUGUUUUGGGGGUUCAUAUCAGGGCUGGGAUGUGACAGGGACCCCCGGGCAGGUCGGCGGAUGCAGUUGGAGAUGUGGGCGCAGCACGGGAUGCUGGGCUUGGCCAUGAGUCCUCCAUCCACUCCCAGCUCAGGACCAGGCUUUUCGCCGGGCCCUCGUCCAUGGCUAAUGACAUGACUGCAUAAUAACAGCCGCUCAUAAAAUUAUUAUGAGAACAAACAAAUUCCUUCCCUAUUAUAUACAGUACUUGUUUUUGAGAUUAAAACAGCAGCGGGGCUGAUUUGCUGUGGUUGCUCGCUGACCCACACGUGAGACCUUGAGGAUCUGCCCCCAUUACUUCCGAGCUGCCACGGGCAGGAUGCAGCAGGGCAAUUCCUACAUCCCUGAUUUCCAGGCGAUCCGUACAGGGCCAGACGUCCCCGUUGCAAUUGUUCGGUGUGAUCUGCCCAGCAGGGGCCCUGGGUUUCCUCAUUUGGGGAGCCCAAAUUGAGCUGAGAGAACUCAUCACCCCACUCUCUGCACGUGAGGCUCUCUGGGGACAGCGGCAGCGCGCACACUGCGCUGGGCUCAGGGGAGCAGCUCUGCCCUCAGGUUUGUGGUCCUGCGCAGUCCCGCAGAACAAAUACUGUACUUGGCAGCAGAUGUGUGGAGCGAGGAGCGAGCCAGUAACGUUUCCUGGUGAAUAAAAAGGGGCUGAUUUUGAUUGCAUUAGACAUCAGUGCUUCCCCGUGCCAAAAAGACACACAGUAUACAUUUCUGGUUUAUUUGGACCUUCUUCAAACAGGCUGGUAACUGACUUAUUCUACCACUUAUUUUUUUCUUUGUAAAAAUAACCCUUUAAAUUAAGUGUUUAGCAAAUAAUGCUUAGUCCUAUUACAAAGUAAAUUGGGUAUGGACUGUACCAGCAGACCUCUCAAAUCUCUUUCAGAUGCUUGAAUUACAUCACGAUCAAACUUCACCCCGGGGACAGACGAGCUCUGCUGAAUAUUGUCCAUCCUUCUGCUGUGGCAGUCUCCGUUGUUGCUGGGGUACCUUUUGCAAACUACCUACGUGUCGGCAGAGUGACCUCGUGUUGUUUUGGGACACUGGGUCACUUCAUGGCGAGGUACCUGGAGCCAGCGAGGAGAGGUUUCUCUUCGAUUUUGGUCAGUCAGUGUCUUUGCCUGUGGGUGAGGACAGGGCGAGCGGUUCUCCAUCUGCUCUUGGAGCUGCUCAUCUCCUCUGGCCACCUCCACGUCCAUCUCGUUCGUGCCCAAGGCACUGAGCUGGGCAGGGCACGUUCCCUGCGGGGGACCUCGAGCUCCCUGCCCCAGACCCCGUUCUCCACCCCCGGGGCUGCUGGAGCUGGGUUCGGGGCCGGCCGGGAGGGCUGCGCGGGCGAUUGUCGCCCAUAUUGUGCUCCCGCUUGUGUUUAAAAACAACAACAGCUCAACUGACUCAUAGAUCCUACGGCCUCUGAGUCAUUUCUUAUUUCUGGAUUUCACUGCUCUGCCCUUUGCAAUGAGGGGAGUUGCAUGCACACACACACACACACACACACAUCAAGUUCACAUUUGUUUUUCCCCUAUAAAAACAAAACGAUUUCCAUACCAUUAAUGAAACAGAAAUGACUUGACUUCGCAUACCCUGGCUUUUAUUUUCCAUUGUAUAAACUGUGCAGAUGAAAUAACGAUGGCUGUAAAGUAAACCUUCUCUCUCUCUCUCUUUUUUCUUUCUUUCUUCUGUUUUUUUUUUUUUUUUUCCUUUCCCUUUCCAGGCAGCCUCUUUUCGAAAUAGCAAAGGGAGUCACUUACAGACUUGGCCCCAGCGCUGCGCCUGCUGGGAUUAACCCCUGCGUCCCCAGCUCUGCUCUCUUUGCUGCGAAACCACCGCAGGGCAGAGGCAAUGCCAGCCCCUGCACCGUGCGGGGUGAUGUCCAGGGUGCAAAGGUGGCAGGAUGCAGAGCGGGGCACAGAAUGGGCAGGGAAGCUUGGGGAUGGCAGGGAUGACCAGUGCUGACACCUUGGCCAAAUGUCCACUCUCCUCCAUACCACCCUGCAGCCACAGCCUGCGCUAACUAACCACCAAACCCCACUCUCGCUGCUUACAGGGCUUUUACGCUAUUACAGAGCACCCUGAGGACAAUCAGCGGGGGCAGUGGUGCCGCUUACAGGGGCAGCAGAUGCAGCUGGAGCUGGGUAUGCAAGCACGUGCUUGGGAGAGCAGGACGGGGUGAGCAGCAUGGAGAUGCCCCCUGAGUAUUGCCUGCAGUCUGUGCGUCCUCAAGGCUCACAAGCGCAGCACAACCCCUUUUCCUGUUCAUACAGCUUGCAGCCCCCAGCACCAGGUCAGCCCUUUUGCCAAAAGCCAGUGGCCGGGUGGGUUGGUGACACAGCUGAGAUACUGUUACUCUUCCCGGACUGGGCGAUGUGUUUUAUAUUAUUUCUCUUGGAUUUAUUAAGCAUUAUGUAACCAGCUAACCGAUCCCGCAUGCUACAAAAUCGCUGCUGAUUUCACGUCAGUGGAAAGUAAACAAAAAGCAUUCUGAAGUGGCGGGGCUGAAAUUCAUUUCCACGUUCAAAGCAACCCGUGGAGGAUUUUCCCCAUCUCCUCGCCACCAGUUUGCAUCCAGGCUCUGCUGCAACCCAUCAGAAAAGAGUUAUGGAAAGUUUGCAUGUUGCACACAACAAGGUGUUACAAACAAAUCCUCUCUGCUCACUCUCCGCACGAAGUGAUUAAGAUAAAGGUUAUUUCUCUUAAUUAUUUUUAAGCAUCUUUGUGGAUUUUCUCAUACUCCUUGAAAUGGGUUAUGCUGGCAUGUUGCUUGUCUUUCAGCUGGAGGAUUCCUUUGAAUAUGAAAAUCACUCACCAAAGAAGGUUUGGCAUUAAAGUUUCAAAAAGAAACAAACAAAUGAAGUACUCAGGUCCUGGAGCUCAGCAGGACCCCAUCUAAAGUGACGGGAAGGACACUCCGCAUUGCUCAGCUUAGGAAGGAUUAUAAGCAUCAGGCUGAGAAAGUGAACGGCGAGGAGACGGGGAACCCAGCUUUCGGAUGGGCAGCGAGGCGGGCAGCCCUCCUGUGCCUGAGAGUGCCACCGGCACCUCGCCAGGCACUAAAGCCCCUCCUCGCCCACCAGAGGCAGAUCAGGACAAGAAGGUGCCUGCCCGGGGCAGAUGGAAGCAGAUUUUUCAGGACAAGAAGGUGCCUCCCGGCACAGCCUGGCCAUGCAGGGCUGGUUUGGGGUAAUCCUGUCGCAAGCCGCCGCAGAGACCGCUGAGGACGUAAGAGCAUUUGCUUGGGAGCUGGGUGGCAGAAGGUAAGAGCCAACCAACUGCAUGACGUUGUUGUCAUUACUUUUGUUGUUCUCGUUUCUCCAGGGCCAUCAACAGCAUAUCUUGUCUGCUUUAUUUAACUGCAGCUUCUGCACCUCUCCCUCAGGAAGAUGCAGCAGAGAGUCCCCGCUCUACACAGAAAAAAGCAGCAGCGACAAAGCUGACAGCAGAAUAAAUCUGUGAGUCUGUUGCAGACAUUGCUCGGCCUUUGACUACUGCUAUCCAAGAAAAAGCACAGCUUUUCUUUUUUCUUUUUUUUUUUUUUUAUACAAUUAUCAUCAUAUUAUGCCUUAAAAUUUAGUUCUGUGUAUGCUUUACAGGCUCUGCAGGAACCUGGAUCUUCAUGAGCAGAUCAAAGCCCAAUUUAAAGAUAUCAUCCAAAUAGGUAAAUGUGUCAGAAACAUUAUCAGGGUCACAUUUGGGCAACAGGGUUCACUCUGUUUUAAGUGCAAAUGGCUUGCUGAUGGUUUAGCUGAACUUCCUGAGGAGUGUUUGAAAUUCCUGGCACACGUUCGAUUUGCCAUCUGUUAGGAGGACUUUGAUGAGCCCACAAAGAGACAUUUGACCAGAGCUGCAUUUCAUAUCUCGUGUGGGCUCCUGUGACUGGCCAGCUUGUAUUUUCUAUGUUUGCAUUAUUCUGAUUCCCCGAGUGCUUGGAGGGAGUGGGGCUUGCAGGGGGCUGGGUACUGAGCUCUGGGGCAGAGAUGCACUGCUCGUUCUCCGCCAGUGCGCUGUCAUCAUCUUGUUCCAGCACUGCCUGUUCUUUAUGUCUGCUAACAUUAUUAUGUAUAGUCAAGUUAUGCCCUCAUUUAGACUGGAUCUGACAGUAAUUAAGUAAUUUGUACUGUCAGAGGGAACUUGAACUUGAGGGUAGCCUGGCUACAGAUGCUAAAAUCUUCCUCGCUUUUCUGAAGGCAUCCCCUGUUAAGCAUGUAAGUAGGUAAAUUGGUCUGGUCUCCUCUUUCAUCUCUUUCCUGAAGACAUAAAAAAAAUCUCUUUUAUGAAAAUGGUAUUAUAAUCUCUUGAAAAACACUGUCCAAUAAGGUUGAAUUCAACCUGAAUAUUUUUCCGAAACAGAAGAGACCAAUUGCAACCUGGUCAGAGGGCAGGGGAUGCAGUUUGGGCUGAAUGCAGACUGUGAGGAUUUUUGCAGGAGUGGGACCAGGGCUUUGCAGGAGAGCUGUUGAUGAGGCCUGAGGGGCAUUUUUCCUGCACGUGAAAGCAGUGGGAGCUCGUGCAUGUGUGCAGUGCCUCAGGAGAGAGCCAAGAGCAUUCAGCAAAUGUACCAAACCAUCGUAACCAUGCGCUGGGGUGAGUCGAACCCCCCCCCAAAAUACUCUGUGCCUCUGGUGGGAAUGUCUGCCACCAUCUUCUACCAGCACCACCAAGUGCCUUUCAACAUAUUAAAGACACGAUGGGAACUGGGCUCCCAGGGGAUCCAUCGGUCUGAUUUCUGUGGAUGCUCGUACCCUGGGUCUAUUUGGAGCAGAAUGAUUCAUUCGGCUGCUCGUUGCUUAGGGCUCUGUGUCACUUCCCACUGUAAGGCGAGGGGUCUUGUCUGCUAUCGUGGACUGGCUGGGGCUAAUUUUGGGAUCGAUUUAGCGUGGAAAAAAAUACUUUAUGCAGCAAGACAGCAGCUGAUUAAGCCUCUUCCACAUGGAUGCUGGUGUUCAGAUGCUCCCAGGCAGUGAGAGUUAUCCAGCGACAUCAGGCAGAUGUCCCAUGUCGUGUCCCAGCUGCACAGAGCGGCGACCUGUUGUGUCAGACCCUUGUCAAGGGGGACACGGGUGUUUGCUCUGCAUGGGCACAGGAAAGCCAUCUGGUUUGGGAUGGCUGAAGUUGAGGGGGACCAAUGCUCAGUGUUUGCAUUGUUACUUGUAGGAAAAAGCCCCACAGGACUGUAACAACCAGCAGGCCAGGAACUUCAGCAAAUGUCUCUAGGCUUCCCAGAAGAAGAGAUGUAAGAAAAGAUUCUCAUUCCCAAAAGGAGUUUUGGAACCGUGGAGUUAAAGGGAACAUCUCCAUCCCCAGUGUGGCAAGGUGAAAGGCACAGCAGCAGGGCCAGCGUGUCCAGCAUGACGCUGCUCCAACCACUUUGGGAGUCAUGGCCAAGGUGUGGGUCAAGCUGGGGCUCUGCAGAGUGACCCCCACAGCUCUUCUCUGCAGCUCCUUUCUGCUGAUAACUGCAAAUUGCACACUGGAAAGGUGUUUUGUUUUUUUUUCCCCUUUAAAUCUUGAAUCCAGCUGUAAAUAAUCCUGUCUAGUGAAGGGUAAGACUUUGGUUAAGAUAUAUUCCCAGAGCUUCUCGAGCCCAUGUGGGCAGUAGCCCUGCGUUCAGUGCAGACGGGAAGGUUGCAGGGCGCAGCUGGAUGAAUUAAUUGCCCCACAGAUGAGAUGCAUUUGCUGUGGUAUAAAUCAGCUGUCGCUUGUCAGGCAUGUUCCUGGCUUAUCAAUGGGAAGCAAAACAUUGCAGCGUAACAGCUCCAUGAAAGGCCGUGUCCUGGAGAGGCACAAUUGGUGGGAGCAUGGCCUGUGGAGGGGAUUACAAGAUAAGCAGGCUCUCCCACUUCUCCUAAAAGCCUGACAGCUACCAGCAGCUGGCAGGAGAAUUCCAGCCCUACAUGGGCUGUAAUAAGAAGACGAACCAACCAGAGAACAAGAAAUAUGACUCUGAUGGACCUUACAGAGCCUUUCUGGAAGCAGGAUCACAGUGGUCUUCUCCGAAUCCAGGGACGUGCACACGGGCGGAGGCAGCUUGCAGCCACCCCUUCAUUUCCUCUGAAAGUCCCUAAGGAAAUGCCAUCCCACAGCUGGGGUCCAGCACUGAGGAGAUGUCGCUCUAACCCCCAGGGCUGAUAAGGUAGGCAGCCGUCCGUGGCGUUACCUCCGCUGCCAACAGAGCCUCUUCCCACUUGAGGCUUUCACUUGGCACACAGCAUUAAGUGUUAGAUGUGGAAAGAACAAAGUGUGGGGGAGCUGCUGGUUUCAUCUCCUUGGUGGGACUCUUGGUGGUUCUUUUUUUUCGUAGUGAGAUCAGAUGUGGCACUUCCCUGAAAACAUGGCAGUCCACAGGAGAGUUCGUUAGUUUGUGGCAAGUUGCAGCACUGAGGAAGCCAGUGGAAAGCAAAUGUUAUUGCAAAGAGUUAUUGCUAAGGGAAGAGGAAAACAUGGUCCCAAGGAAAUAAACUUGAUGGAACAAAACGUGGAACAAUAUAAAGCUGUAGAGGACAGGCAAUAGGGUUGAAUACUUCCUCAGAGUGAAAGCCCCCAGUCAUCUGUUUUUAAUGGCAAUGAUUGCUCUCUGCCUGUUCAGUGAAUACAUGGGACACAUCUGUUUAGGUCCACCUCUAAUAGGACCAACAGAUAUCACGACUGCGGCUGGCUGAACUUUUUUUCACCACCAUUAUACAAAAAUGUCUUUGUGAUCAUCAUCCAAUAUUGAUAACAGCACCAAGAGCAAAAAUCAGUUUUGCCUUUUUUUAGAAAAGAGUGUGUUUUAAUUUCAAGUGCCAUGGGAUUAUAUCUCAAAAAGGACUUUCCCCUGAAAACAAACAAACAAGCAAAAAAACCCAAAAACACUAAAAUGUAGAUUUGAGCAGCUCUAAUGACGACCAGCCUGCCUCAAGUCUGAGAAAAGUUUAAGAAGCAAGGAGAAAGGAGAUGCCCACUUUCCUAAAUUUGACAGAGCUGUACACUGCCAACUUUCUUGGCCUUGAGUCUCCAUCCAAUUUGUACCAACAACCGAAAAAGCAGUAUCAGGCUUGGAGAAGUGUUAAGGUGGAUGAAUCACGCUCUUGCUGAGUCUCAUGCCAUUUAAAACAUUGCAGGGGACUUUGGUUUUGGAUUGUCAGGGUUUUCCUUGUGCUUUCCCCUUUAUUUACUGGAAAAUAUAUUGCUACAAAGUCAAAGCAAAACAAGGUGCUUCUUGAGAAGGAUUGCUGUAGCCAGCCCGACUGCUGUGGUGGGCAGAGCCCAUGUCCACGCACCACUGUGUGGCCUGGGAGAAGAGCCCUGUGCUUUAGCCUUGGGCUGUAAAGCCCCGCUCUGUGUAUGGAUGUAUCUGCUUGUGAGGCAGAGGGUGACUUCUUCUCCUCCCUUCCCUCAUCUUCUCACCCUCUGAGUUGUUGUGUGUUGCUGUUGGGGUGUAAUCCUGAUAGGCCUCCUGCCUGAGGACCAGGCUGGUGUUUUGGUGGCAGUGCAGCCCCUGGUUUUAGCUCUGGUGACCUUAGAAAUAAGAGCCCAACUUCUUGAACAAGCUGCUUGAGGAGCAUGGGAUAGGUCAGAGAAUUCUUGGGCAGAUCAAAAGCCAGAGAUGUUUUUCUGACAGCCCUGGGGCUCCCUGUCAUGAUUUAUGAAUUAUAUAUGUUCCACGUGUUUAGCCAAAGAGGCUCAGAGGGGGAACAGGGACUGUUUGUGCAAGCAGGAAAGGGUGUGUGGCUUCAGAGAGCCACCAUCCACCAAGAGGUACCAUCUCCACAUCUGCAGAGCCAUCACAGUGCAGAGGUGUUCAUUCAGCAGCCAUCACUGUGCUCCUCACCACAGAUCUAAGGUACGACCGCAGGUCCUGAGUGAACGUACUUGCUGAAAUUCCUGGGCAGAUGUUCUCCUUGGAGCUCUAGUGUAUCCCACUGGGCACAGCUCUCCUUUGGCGAGUGCUACGUGCCCUGGCAGGCUUCAAGUUUCAUGUCCUCCUUUGGAGGCUGGAUGCCCAAAGGCGAGCUGCUGCGCUCCUUGAGCUGUCGUCACAGUGGUGACGAGGGAGGCUUUCCAGAUUCUGAUGCAAAACAGGACAGGAAAACUCCUAAUUAAGAGGCCAGAGUGUUUCUGUGUGCGCAGUACAGUAAUCUCUGUAUCCAGUCUGUGACUUCUGGAUGGGUCGUAGUCCAUCUAGCAGAUAGUCUUGCAGUCAUCGAAGGCUUUGAGCAACAAAAACCCACCACAUCCUGAGUCUGAGUAAUUACCUGCUGGAACAACUUUGCUGUUUUGUGAUCUAACACAAAAGCACCCGGUUUCAGCUUCCAGCAUGUAAAUCUUGCUUUUCCUUUGUCUGAUAGAAGAGGAAGCCCUCUGCCAGAAAGCAUCUCUCUGGGAGUUUUUUGUGAGCGAUUACUACUAGCUCACCUCCCAGCUCCCUCCUGCAACAACUAAAGGCACUGAAAGCUUUCAGUCCCUACUGUAGGACAGAUUUUCCCAUCCUGAACGAUCUUUGUAUUAUUUUGUUGCGGGUCCCUCUGCUAGGUAAAUCCAGAGCCACUUGCUGGAGGUGACCGGGGGGAGUCAGGGAAAUCCAGCAGCUGAAAUUUCAGCGGUCAGGCUACAGCCCUUUUUUCCGUCAUGUAUGGACCAAAGUGGUCGGAGACACUGCUUGAUGACCGCUCAACCAUGCUG